GGACGGUACCUUUCGAGGAAGCCACGGCUAACUACGUGCCAGCAGCCGCGGUAAUACGUAGGUGGCGAGCGUUGUCCGGAAUUAUUGGGCGUAAAGGGAGCGCAGGUGGGACUUCAAGUCAGUCUUAAAAGUGCGGGGCUCAACUCCGUGAUGGGAUUGAAACUGUAGUUCUUGAGUGCAGGAGAGGAAAGCGGAAUUCCUAGUGUAGCGGUGAAAUGCGUAGAUAUUAGGAGGAACACCAGUGGCGAAGGCGGCUUUCUGGACUGUAACUGACACUGAGGCUCGAAAGCGUGGGGAGCGAACAGGAUUAGAUACCCUG
rnacentral:rRNA from 1 species